UACGUAGGGAGCGAGCGUUGUCCGGAAUCAUUGGGCGUAAAGAGCAUGUAGGUGGAUCAAUUAGUCUGCUGUGAAAGUCAAAAGGCUCAACCUUUGAAAAGCCGGUGGAUACUGUUGAUCUAGAGUACGGAAGAGGCGAGUGGAAUUCCUGGUGUAGCGGUGGAAUGCGCAGAUAUCAGGAGGAACACCGGUGGCGAAGGCGGGUCUCUGGGCCGUAAACUGACGCUGAGGAGCGAAAAGCGUGGGGAGCGAACAGG
rnacentral:rRNA from 1 species